rnacentral:rRNA from 1 species
UCAGACGAUGCGUCAUGCAUAUCAAUAAGCGGAGGAAAAGAAACUAACAAGGAUUCCCUCAGUAACGGCGAGUGAAGCGGGAAGAGCUCAAAUUUGAAAUCUUGAAAGGUCACCUUUCACGAAUUGUAGUUUAAAGAAGUGUUUUCUGUUACGAUCGUAAUAUAAGUUCUUUGGAAUAGGACAUCACAGAGGGUGAGAAUCCCGUCUAUGAUUGCGAUUUGUAGCUUUGUGAUACACUUUCAAAGAGUCGGGUUGUUUGGGAAUGCAGCCCAAAACGGGAGGUAAAUUUCUUCUAAGGCUAAAUAUUGGCGAGAGACCGAUAGCGAACAAGUACCGUGAGGGAAAGAUGAAAAGAACUUUGAAAAGAGAGUUAAAUAGGACGUGAAAUUGUCAAAAGGGAAGCGUUUGACACCAGUGUUGUUUUCUGAAAAUCAACCUCUGUUAGCUUUAUGCAUGUUUGUUUAGACCUAAUCAGCUAUCUUGCAUGUUCUAUUGUUUGCAGUGGUGCACUUUUCAGUUUACAGGUCAACAUCAGUUUUUUUUACCGUAAAAAAGUUAAAGAAAGGUAGCUCAUGGCUCCGGUCGUGAGUGUUAUAGUCUUUUUCCUAUGCGGUAGGAGAGACUGAGGUCUGCAGUGUAGGCUAUUUGGCUAGAUACUCAGGUGCUAUGUGAUACCAUUUCAUAAACAACUUGUUGAUUAUGUUUUGUCUAUUGCAUACUCGCUUGUACUAUCAUACCUACGCUUAGGAUGUUGAAGACUCUACAGAGAUA